GUGGGUACAUGCAAGCAUUGUUAAUUUGCUACACAGAGUCAUCUUCCAUAUUCAGAGCCCCAAAAAAAAAAAAAAACAAAAAAAGAAAGUCAUCUUCUUUUUCUUUGCUUUUAUUUUCAAAAACUAUUCCUCUUGAUCUUCCUCUUCACCAAAAACGCAGUUUCCUUGCAAAAAGGUUGUAGCUCUGAUGGAAACAAUUACAGGGCUUCCAUUUAUGUUUCUGAUUCUCUGCCUUGUGACAAGAGAAUUUCUUCUCAACAGUGACGCUCAAUUAACAAACUGCGUGGAUUCAGACCGAGAAGCUCUUGUUGACUUCAAGAAUGGUCUUCAUGAUCCUGAGAACCGGCUUUCUUCAUGGAAGGGAAGCAACUGUUGUCAAUGGUGGGGAAUAAGCUGUGAGACCACUUCUGGAGCAGUUAUUGCGGUUGAUCUCCAUAACCCAUAUCCAAAUAAUUAUGAUGAAUCUACAGGUACGUCUGGAUUCUGGAACCCUAGUGGGGAAAUUAGACCUUCAUUGACGAAACUCAAGUUCUUGAGGCUUUUGGACUUGAGUUUCAACACAUUUGAUGGCAACACAAUUCCUCAAUUUUUUGGAUCUUUGAAAAAUUUGCAGUAUCUGAACCUCUCUAAUAGUGGGUUUAGGGGUCCCAUCCCAGAUUCUUUUGGAAUAUUACAGCAAAAUCUUACCCACCUGAAACUAAAUGACAAUGCACUAAACGGGACUCUCCCAGAAAGUUUGGGACAACUUUCCGAGUUGUCUACAUUUGAUGUUUCUUCCAAUAAAUUGACAGGUGUAGUUACUGAAGCACAUUUUUUAAAGCUAAAAAAGCUAAGUUAUUUAGAUCUGUCUUCAAACUCUUUCAAAUUGAAUGUCAAUUCCAAUUGGGUUCCCCCAUUUCAAAUCUCUUCUCUUUCAAUGAGAGCCUGCCAUUUGGGUCCUUCAUUUCCUGCUUGGCUCAAGUCACAAAAGCAAGUAAUGUCUUUGGAUUUCUCAAAUGCUAGCCUUUCUGGCUCCAUACCUAACUGGUUUUGGGAAUUUUCUUAUCCAUUAUUACGGUUGAAUCUUUCUUUUAAUCAACUAGCAGGUCAACUACCAAGUCGACUAGAGUUUAGUGCACUUGGCUUUCCAAGUCAAGUCAUUCAUUUAACGGGUGCAGUAGUUGAUUUCAGCUCAAAUAACUUCAGUGGGUCUAUUCCUAAACCACGUGGCAUUAACAUACUCGAUCUAUCCAAAAAUAAACUUUCUGGUAAUAUUCCAAAUAAUAUAAGCCAGUCCUUGGUUUUCCUUUCUAUUGCUUACAACCAGAUAAAUGGAGAAAUCCCCGCUUCAAUAUGUAACAUUGGUCCUUAUCUUAAAGCCAUUGAUCUUUCCAAUAACAACUUAACUGGAAGUAUUCCAUCAAGUAUUGGAAAUUGUUCUGAUCUCUCUGUACUAGACAUUAGUAAUAACAACUUGUCUGGAACCAUUCCUACCUUCUUGGGUCAAUUAGGUGGGCUUCAAACAUUGCACCUGCAUGGCAACAAGCUCUACGGACGGCUCCCAUCAUCUUUCCAAAACUUAUCUAGUUUGGAAACACUAAAUCUUGGAAACUACAGAUUAAGUGGUGUAAUUCCACCAUGGAUUGGGAAAGGAUUUGAAAGGCUAAGAAUUCUUAGCUUGAGGUCUAAUUCAUUUUCAGGAGAACUUCCAGCUCUGCUAUCAAACUUAAGCUCACUACAGAUCCUGGACCUAGCAGAAAAUCAGUUGGUAGGCAGUAUUCCGCCUAGCUUUGGACAUUUCAAAGGUAUGCACAUGUCACAAGCCCAAAUGAUUAACCAUUAUCUAUUGUAUAGGCCUUCCCGUAGUGGCAUUUACAUACUCGGAGGGGGAAACUACGAGAUUGUUGGCAGCUACUAUGAAAGCUUUGUUGUAAAUAUGAAAGGCCAGCCUCUAAGAUAUACGAAGACCCUUUCUCUUGUAACGGCACUAGACCUCUCAGGAAAUAAUUUGAGCGGAGAUCUUCCUAUAGAGAUAACAAAUUUGUUGGGGUUGCUCGUUCUCGACUUGUCAAGCAACCAAAUUACUGGUCAUAUUCCCGAAAGCAUUUCAAAGUUGAAGGAAUUGCUUUCUCUUGAUCUCUCCAGUAAUAGGUUCUCCGGUGCGAUUCCUCAAAGCUUGGGGUCACUCUCAUCCCUGGGGUAUCUGAAUCUGUCAAACAAUGAAUUGUCUGGUCCUAUUCCUGAUAAAGAUCAGAUGCUCACCUUCAAUGCAUCCUCUUUUGCUGGAAAUGUUGGCCUUUGUAGUCGUCAACUUGCUGUAAAAUGUCCAGGUAGUGAUAAAAAUGGGAAACCAGAUAAGGGACGGACAACUCCCAAGGAUGCUGGUAAUGGUGACAGCUUCAUUAAUAAGUGGUUUUACUUGAGCAUUGGAUUGGGAUUUGCAGCUGGAAUUCUUGUUCCGUAUUUGAUAAUGACGAUGAGAAAAUCUUGGAGCAUAGCCUACUUUGAUGUUGUUGAUAAAGUUGUAGAUAGAAUACUAUAUUUGUGGUUGAAAUAUACAACCACAAAGCAGAGGACAGGAAGGCAUCAGCAAAGAAGAUAAAGAGACAAAAUCUCGAGCAGAAUUUGACUUUAAGGAAGAAAGUGGCACCAAUUACCCUGCAAAGAGAGAGAGAGAGAGAGAGAGAGAGAGAGAGAAACCAGGUUUGAAUAAUCCAAAGUUAAGGAUGCAACAUCUUCAAACUAUCAUUGCAGAUGUCAUCAUUAAAGUAAGCCUUUCAUGGAAUAAAUUUCAACAAAGUUGGAAAAAAAUGAAUCUGAUUAUCACUAUUAUCUAUAUUAAACAACCAAAAUGACUUGCUUUUUAGCACUUUUUGUUAUAGUUUUAUUCUUGUCUGCCACAAAGGGAGCUAAGAUCGAAAAAGAAAUUUGUAUAUGAAUAUCAGGACGAGAGAAUUACUUUUAUCACUGACUUGGUAAAGAGACAUACUUGCCUUGAAAAUGAUUAUUAUAAUAAAAUACUGUUAUAAUAAAAUAGCUUCUAUUUGAUUAUUAUAAUAAAAUACUAUUUUAAGACUAGAAAAUGAUUACUUUUAUAUAUAAUUUUACAAUACAAGAUUCCCAUAGACUUUUCAACGUGCAUGGUUCAAAAAUAUAGAAGAGAAAUAUGUAUCAAUUCAAGUUGUUGGGAGAAGACCAUGAUCGGCUGAAACAUAUAAUAUGGUAUGUAGUAUUGUAAAAGAAUUUUUAUCUUCCUUUCCAACUUGUAGAAAUUAUAUCAUGAAGAAAUAUAUUAUGUGAAUAGAUAAGGUGAAAGGCAUGCUUAGUUUUAUUUUAUACCUAUAAAUAAUUUUCCAUACUUUUUGACAAUUUUAACUAUAUUUUACCAUGAGACGACGGAAAAUCUGCAAAGGAAAAAUGGACUAAUUAGCUUUACCGGAUCUUGAAUUUUUCCGUGGCUUCCUCAAAAGUUGUUCAUAUUUUGGUUUCUUAUUCAAUCGAAAUUUCCUAUAUUUUCAUAUUAUUGUUGGUUAAUUGGAAGUUUGUUCUUAUAUAAGAACGCUUCUUCAUUCUUCACCAAGACAGUUUAUUUUUCAAUUUCAUUUCUGGUUUCUGGCAUGAAGUGUCUAUCUUUGAUGGUAACAAUUACAGGGCUUCCAUUAAAGUGCAUUAUAAUAUAUAUUUUAUAACAGCUAAUAUACAUAAAGAUAAAUAACUUUUAUUAUCUUAUUCUAUGAAAAUUCUGACGAUGGGAAAGUAGAAAUUGUGUAGUAGUUACCAUGUACAUAGCUGUGAAUCAUUCAUUUUUAAAAAAUUGCCGAGGUUCUUAUUGUGGUCGAUUAUAAAUGAAGGGGGUCAUGAAAAUGAAAAGUUUUAUAUGGUAACCUUUAUUAUGAAAGGCAAAAGCUAGAUGAUUAUAACACAACUCCUGAAGAAAAUACGCUUCAAAUACCAUGCACUAUAAAUAAACUAUAAAAUGCUUUAAAGGAUGGAUCUAGUUACCCUCUAUUUUAAUACAAUUUUACGCCUCUUUACUCGCCUAAAAUCACUCUGUCGGGGUUUCCAAAUUGUCAUCAACUUGCAGAUAAAGCAACAGAGAAAGAAAGAGGGAGAGCAUGAUUGAAGAAUCAAAAGGGUAUUGAAUUAGGAUGCGACAAAUUCCAACUGUGGCAGAGACCUUUUACCAAGAUAGCCAAGUAGAAAGAAAAGAAGACAUUUUCUCAGUGGCUUCCACAUUGACUUGGAAAAAUGACCUGCUUGUCUCCAGAUUCAGUAACGUGUCUAUAUUAUUUAUCAUCACCAUGGAACAGCAAUGGAGAACCAAGUCCAGACCAGUUUCUGCUGGGGGCUUCCAUUUAUAUUACUGCUUCUCUGCUUAAUGACAAGAGAAUUUCUUCCCAACACAAAUGCUCACUUGAUGAAUUGCUGGGAGUAGGAUCAAGAAGCUCUCAUUGACUUCAAGAAUGGUCUUAAUGAUCCUGCAAACCGGCUUUCUUCAUGGAAGGGAAGCAACUGUUGCCAAUGGUGGGGAAUAAGUUGUGAUAACACAUCUGGAGCUGUUAUUGCAGUUGAUCUCCGUGAUCCACAUCAAGACGGAUUUCAGUUUUUUGGCAGGUAUGUACACCCUACUAUCAGUAGGGAUAUAAGUCCUUCAUUGAUGACACUGAAGUCCUUGAGACAUUUGGACUUGAGUUUAAAUGCAUUCAUUGACAACCUAAUUCCUGAA